CAUGAAUUUUCUUUUUCCAGGUUUUGAUUCGGUACCAGAUCGAAAGAGGAGUGAUUGUCAUACCAAAAGUGUGACGAAAGAGAGGAUCAUCUCCAACUUUAAUGUGUUCGACUUCAAGCUCACACAAAAAGAAAUGGAAACAAUUAAUGGUUUUAAUAGGAACCACAGAUUUCUUGUUCUUUCAUGGAUCAGCAGUCACAAGUACUACCCUUUCAAGGUUUAAGUAUGAGACAACACCUUUACUAACCUCAUUUGGCAAGUUUGAUGUUAGUCUUCAAUGACUCCAUUUUACAUUAAAUAAAGCAAGUUUCAAAAUACUG